rnacentral:rRNA from 1 species
AGUGAACGCUGGCGGUAGGCCUAACACAUGCAAGUCGAACGGCAGCACAGGAGAGCUUGCUCUCUGGGUGGCGAGUGGCGGACGGGUGAGGAAUACAUCGGAAUCUACUUUUUCGUGGGGGAUAACGUAGGGAAACUUACGCUGAUACCGCAUACGACCUACGGGUGAAAGCAGGGGAUCUUCGGACCUUGCGCGAUUGAAUGAGCCGAUGUCGGAUUAGCUAGUUGGCGGGGUAAAGGCCCACAAAGGCGACGAUCCGUAGCUGGCCUGAGAGGAUGAUCAGCCACACUGGAACUGAGACACGGUCCAGACUCCUACGGGAGGCAGCAGUGGGGAAUAUUGGACAAUGGGCGCAAGCCUGAUCCAGCCAUACCGCGUGGGUGAAGAAGGCCUUCGGGUUGUAAAGCCCUUUUGUUGGGAAAGAAAUCCAGCUGGUUAAUACCCGGUUGGGAUGACGGUACCCAAAGAAUAAGCACCGGCUAACUUCGUGCCAGCCGCCGCGGUAA